rnacentral:misc_RNA from 1 species
AACAUCGCGCACCUGCGGGAACCUGCGGAAGGAUCAUUAAAAAGAUCGACGUAUAUGGACGAUCAAAAAAAAUCCAUAUCCACCUUGUGUGCACUCACUGACCGUUCGCUUUGGCAGGAGGGAGUCUUGGAUGAUUUUUAUUUUCCAAGCGGGGGGGAGGAAGGGAAAAGACAACAUUCUCUUUCUCCCUCGGCCUGCCAGAGUUUUUAAAAUCAACCCUUUAUUCUUCUUUUUGGACUG